rnacentral:rRNA from 1 species
GACGGGGCCCGCACAAGCGGUGGAGCAUGUGGUUAAUUCGAAGCAACGCGAAGAACCUUACCAGGUCUUGACAUCCCGAUGCUAUUCUAGAGAUAGAAAGUUACUUCGGUACAUCGGUGACAGGUGGUGCAUGGUUGUCGUCAGCUCGUGUCGUGAGAUGUUGGGUUAAGUCCCGCAACGAGCGCAACCCCUAUUGUUAGUUGCCAUCAUUCAGUUGGGCACUCUAGCGAGACUGCCGGUAAUAAACCGGAGGAAGGUGGGGAUGACGUCAAAUCAUCAUGCCCCUUAUGACCUGGGCUACACACGUGCUACAAUGGUUGGUACAACGAGUUGCGAGUCGGUGACGGCGAGCUAAUCUCUUAAAGCCAAUCUCAGUUCGGAUUGUAGGCUGCAACUCGCCUACAUGAAGUCGGAAUCGCUAGUAAUCGCGGAUCAGCACGCCGCGGUGAAUACGUUCCCGGGCCUU